GUUGAACUUGAGGAGGAAGACGAGACGACAUCGACGAGGGACUUCAGCUCGUGUUCGGGAAUGGAUGCGGCAGCAAAACUAGAUUCACUCAACGUUUCAUCAAUAAAUUAAAGGCUAAAUCUGGAGACAUUGGCUCCAAACUUAAGAUUCUGCAGCAGAUUCAAAAUGACAAAUCCAAUAUCAAUGCGGAACGAACAGCGUUCUUCAUCAUGGCCUAGUUCUCGGAGAGGACCACAAUGAUUUUUACAAGACAUCUUUUGACUGUGAUGACAAUGAAGAUAUGUCCAACAUUGAAAUGUGUUCUGACAGUGAUUCCCGAGUCGUCUGCAACCGCUGCCAUACCCUACUCCCUGCAUCUUGAUGCCACAACAACGGCAAUGAUUCUGGA